GGAAGGUAAGCAAUUUGGCUAGCAGCUUGAUUGGAAAUCAAGUACGACUCUCAAGGUCUAACGGGUUCGAUUCCCGUACCUUCCGC
rnacentral:tRNA from 1 species